rnacentral:rRNA from 1 species
AUACCGCAUGAGACUACAGAGCUGCAUGGCUCAGUGGUCAAAGGAGCAAUCCGCUGAAAGAUGGACUCGCGUCCGAUUAGAUAGUAGGCGGGGUAACGGCCCACCUAGUCGACGAUCGGUAGCCGGACUGAGAGGUUGAACGGCCACCAUUGGGACGUGAGACACGGCCCAGACUCCUACGGGAGGCAGCAUG